GUUAGUUGGCUGGUGUAAGGACAAGGAAAAGUCAGUGCCUAGAGGAGCUGCCUACAAGAAACAUCAAGGAGCCCAAAAUAGGCAAAAUCUGUGUCCUGCAGUCAGGGCUCUUAGAGGAUUUCUGCCUAUAACACCACUGGAGGUAAUAUCUGAACGAUCUGUACCUGAAGGCCACUGACUUCAACUGCAAGUAUGAAAGUGCCAUCAAUAAAACACCCAAUGUGAUUUAGAAAAACCCUCCUGCGCAACCUGUGAAUGAGCUGGACCUUUGGGAAUUUCCCAGCCUUUCCUCAACUAUGCCCACACUUUAUGCUGCAUGGACUGCAAGGGGAAAAAAUUUAAAAAAAUAAGAAUAAAAAUAGAAGCCAUCAAAGAAAUAGAAAAAUGCCAAAAACAGGUGAAAAAGGGGAGGAAGCAUAAAAAAGGAAAGCCAGGUUGUGUUUAUGGGUGGAAAAUUCUUUUCCUGAAUAUUUCCAGUUGCAAGAACAAACUUCUUUCAAUUCCAUGCAUUUGAAAAUUAGAUUAAUGUUGAUACCCAAGAUUAUGCAAAUUCCAGUUUCAGAGCAGUACACUCCAUUUCUUGAUUUAUGGUCAAAGAAAUAGAUGUCCUGAUGCAGCAGUUUUUAAUCUCCAUUUUCUUCAUAUGGUCAGAUUUCUGCUCAUUCUUUUUGACUUUACUGAAGUUUCUUUUCAUGGGCAUGUUCUCACCACUGUAUACAAAUAAUUUACUGAUUUUAUGUGUUAAUUUAACAUUGAAAUUACCCAUGAUUUCCUUUGGUUCCUGAAUGAGCUGAGUCCUUAUUCUUUUGUCUUCAGAAUGACCACUUUGGUACAUACUGUGCCAUGACAAAUGUACAAGGUCCAGUGUCAGCAUUUUCUUUCACUUGGCUUGGCUUAAUAGUUUCCAUAGAGGUUAAGAAGUUCAACAGAAACAUGUAAUUAAAAAUAUAAUGCAAUAAACUACUUAAAACUAGUGCAGUAAAAGCUUUUAAGUCUAGUAAAUAGUGUUAAAAUUACAGUAAUUAAUUUUAGAUUACGUAAGAAUUUUCUUUCUAAUCAACUCUGCAGCAGGAUGAUUUACUUGCUGAUGCUUCUCCUAUCAGGUUGCACUUUUCUC